GAAUUGGCCGCAGUUCAUGAACCCAUGAACAUCACCAGCAUCAACUUCUUGCAUUCCUAAAAAAAACUUGUGAGCUCCUCGGAUGGUGCGCCUGAAGUCUUCCGUUGGGAUAAAUUGCCUGGAUUUUCCGAUUCACCGUCUGUCCCGGCAUGUCCUGCUCCGAAACAGUUGUUCGGUUCCAUUGGAUGUGAAGCCACCGCUAAGAAUGCCAGGGGAAGCGGACCCAUCGCAGACUCCACCACCGCACUCCUCAACCGGUUAUCUGCAUUCACUGCACUGGCUCAGACCCAACGCAGCCCUCUUUACACAUACUUGAGCGCGCUCUUCACUUCUAGUCUGCCAAUUACACUAGGCAAACCUGUCAAGGGACGACGCUCCGUCACCGCGCUGGCGACAGAAACGUAGAUCACUGCUCUACGUCGCCGGUGACCCGUAUUCGAGGAGAAAACGACCCGGAAACCCUCUCUCCUGUCGAAAACCGCUGCCAUGACGGUGGCGCGACGGAAAGUUUUACGGCGGUGCGAAUGAGACCUUAUCCGCGCUCCUUGUCCAUUGCAUCGGUUGCUCCCCCGAUACAGACGGAAGGAGAAACAAUAU